CGGCAAGUCUGGUGCCAGCAGCCGCGGUGAU
rnacentral:rRNA from 15 species